rnacentral:rRNA from 1 species
UACAGAGGUCCCAAGCGUUGUUCGGAUUCACUGGGCGUAAAGGGUGCGUAGGUGGCGAGGAAAGUUUGAUGUGAAAUCUCCGGGCUUAACCCGGAAACUGCAUUGAAAACUAUCUUGCUUGAGGGUUGGAGGGGGGACUGGAAUUCUCGGUGUAGCAGUGAAAUGCGUAGAUAUCGAGAGGAACACCAGUGGCGAAGGCGAGUCCCUGGACAACACCUGACACUGAGGCACGAAAGCCGGGGGAGCAAACAGG